rnacentral:snRNA from 1 species
GUGCUCACUUCAGCAGCACAUACACUAAAACUGGAAUGAUACAGAGAAGAUUAGCAUGGCCCCUGCACAAGGAUGACACGCAAAUUUGUCAAGCGUUCCAUAUUUUA